GUAGUCUGCAACCCGACUACAUGAAGCUGGAAUCGCUAGUAAUCGCGAAUCAGAAUGUCGCGGUGAAUACGUUCCCGGGUCUUGUACACACCGCCCGUCACACCAUGGGAGUUGGAAAUGCCCGAAGUCAGUGACCCAACCGCAAGGAGGGAGCUGCCGAAGGCAGGUCCGGUAACUGGGGUGAAGUCGUAACAAGGUACC
rnacentral:rRNA from 1 species